UUUGAUCCUGGCUCAGGAUGAACGCUGGCGGUCUGCUUAACACAUGCAAGUCGAACGGGAUCUUCGGAAAUCUAGCUUCAGGUUCGGGACAACCACUGGAAACGGUGGCUAAUACCGGAUGUGCCUAACGGUAAAAGAUUUAUUGCCUGAAGAUGAGCUCGCGUCUGAUUAGCUAGUUGGUAGAGUAAAAGCCUACCAAGGCAUCGAUCAGUAACUGGUCUGAGAGGAUGACCAGUCACACUGGGACUGAGACACGGCCCAGACUCCUACGGGAGGCAGCAGUGGGGAAUUUUCCGCAAUGGGCGAAAGCCUGACGGAGCAAGACCGCGUGAGGGAAGAAGGCUCUUGGGUUGUAAACCUCUUUUCUCAGGGAAGAACACAAUGACGGUACCUGAGGAAUCAGCCUCGGCUAACUCCGUGCCAGCAGCCGCGGUAAUACGGAGGAGGCAAGCGUUAUCCGGAAUGAUUGGGCGUAAAGCGUCCGUAGGUGGCUGCUCAAGUCUGCUGUCAAAGAGCAGGGCUUAACUCUGUAAAGGCAGUGGAAACUGAGCAGCUAGAGUGCGGUAGGGGUAGAGGGAAUUCCCGGUGUAGCGGUGAAAUGCGUAGAGAUCGGGAAGAACACCAGCAGCGAAAGCGCUCUACUGGGCCUGCACUGGCACUCAGGGACGAAAGCUAGGGGAGCGAAUGGGAUUAGAUACCCCAGUAGUCCUAGCCGUAAACGAUGGAUACUAG
rnacentral:rRNA from 1 species